rnacentral:misc_RNA from 1 species
AGCGGAAGAUGUGGCUGUGGUACCCCUCUGUCUCGGUCUGAUCAUUACCGCAGCAAACACUGCAGCAACAGCGCUCAUACCGCUCCGCGCAGGUACGUGUGUGGACAGACGCAUAGGCAGAAAACGAGCUGUAGUCGAGCAUGUGUGCAUCGUAAAAGCAACAAAAAAAAGAAGAAACAGAGGCGAACAAGAUGUAUCCUCUGGUUUCAGCCUCAACAGCGAAUGUGUAACACACGCUUUAAUGCGCAUGUAAGGGCACACAAACUCGUCAAUGUUGCGUCAUAAUAUCUCCUUUAUUUUUGUUCUCUUCGGUAUGCGAAAGGACAUCCUCACCCCUUCCCCUCCCCAAUACAAUCCUGCUGGUGUCGUAUGAUCUGUGUUUGUGUGUGGAUUUGCGGCGACUUUCAUCUGACACGAUUCUGUGCGUCCGCGUGUGGAAGGUGAGGCUCGUUGUUGGUGGAUCUUGUCGGCUUGUGAUCGCUGUCCUCGUUUUAGUGAUUCUCUCCCUCCACCACGACCACCACCCCAACACACACACACACAAGCACAAGCACACACACCUUUGGGAUCCGACUUUUCCUUUUCGCCUCAUCUUACCUUUUUUGUCUUCUCUUGUCAUUCCCUCUCUUCCUUCUCUUUACCUUCAUGUCUCUCUUAUCUUGAGCGCGCGCGCUUGCUGUGUUUCCGGCAUUCUGUGUAUCUGUUUUGCCUGCCACCUCGCAGACCACCACCACCACCUCAUCACCAUCACCGCCGACAUCCUUCCCGUUAUAUAUUUGUGUAUGUCUGUGUGUCUGUGUGUGUAUGUGCGUUUGCCCACUGCGCGUUGGGCUCUCUGUUGUUUGAGCCAUCUCGCUCACCUCUCUCUUGUUCCAG